rnacentral:lncRNA from 1 species
GAUGGCAGCAGCAACAGCAGCAGCAUUGGUACCAUCUGGACUUGCCAGCAGCAGCUUGAAUGGGACGAAGCUACGAAUCAAGCCUACAGCGCAAGUUUCAAUGAGAAGAUCCACAGCCAAGUAAGUUACUUCAAAGAGGAAAACUUACAGUGGAACUGUUCCUUCGAAAACUUCCAGGCUCGGUGUCUCGGCGAAGUAUGGAGAGAAGAGCGUCUACUUCGACUUGGGAGAUAUCAACAACACCACCGGAGCUUGGGACUUGUAUGGAUCGGAUACGCCUUCCCCUUACAAUGGACUCCAGGUGUGUCUUCUCUUUCUUCUUGAUCCACGGAGAUGAAACUUUUUUGCUUUCUCGUUUCGUAGAGCCAAUUCUUCCAAAUCUUCGCUGGCGCUUUCACCAAGAGAGGGCUGUUGCUCAAGUUUCUACUGCUUGCUGGUACCGGUGCUGUGGCUUUCACGGGCGCUAAUGCACCUGCGAGUCUCGUCCCUGUCAAGAGAGGAGCUGUUGGGCCGCCGACGCCUGGCCCGAGAGGCAAGAUCUAGAUCGAGAAACGCUGCUAGCCACCAUGAAUGUAACUUAUGCUGGAACUUCGUCACUCUGGAUAAGAAACCAAAGCUUGAGCUUGCUCGUGAUUCUCUUUGUGAUCAAAAUCUAGCGAGCUUGGAUCUGGUCAAGAACUUAAGCUGGCCAGCCACGGCAAGAGCUGCUCGUGCACAAGCUCUGGCCCGUCGUCGUGAGGACAGUGUCCAACGUUUUGUAGCACUCGAAGCUUUACGUUUGGACGUGAGGAUGGAAGGCUGGUAAAGUACUUGCCCACUGGUCCAUCCACCGGAGUGAAAGGAUCGGUGUCGCCCCAUAGCACCAAGAUCGGGCAGUGGAUCUUGUCGAUGAGAGCCAUGGGAGUCGGGCCUGGAGGACCAGUUAUGAUCGAAACGAAUGCUUCCAGAGCUCCUGGAUCCUCCGCAGGCCUUCUGAUAAUCUGUGGAGGCGAAAGUUUGAGAUAAACUCGAGAAGGAAUCGAGUACCUCUAUGAGUUCUUGGUCCACAGCUUCCUUGUUGACGUAAACUGACGAUAGAAGAGUCUUAAGAUUUUCCCUGUAGAUUUGCAAAGCUUUAGAAAGUUUGCGCAGCCAUGGUGAAGCUUACCUCGACUUCACUCGGUUGAAGAGACGAGAGGAGAUUCCUGGUUGCUUGAGUAGCCAGUCUAUGAGCGAAAGCAAGGGUGAUGCUAGCUUCAAGCGCCAGUCAUCCACCACUGCUUUGUUGUUCAUUCCUCCAGCACAGUUUAAAAGCACUGCUCCUCGAAUCAAUCCUUCAGUGGCAUCUAGAGAGAAAAAGAAGAGAAGAUCCAUGCAAGUUAGAGAGAGAGAGAGAGAACGAUCAACUUACUCGCAGUAGCAGUAAGACAUGCGAGACUGCCGAUAGAAUUUCCAACAAGAACAGUCGGAGCCGACUCCAUAACAUCUUUGAUGAAAUCUAGCAAAAGCUGCUCUACGGAACGCCGCACUGUAGCAAGUUCUUAGCACGAUAUCCAAAAAAGAAGAAACAAAACCAGCAAGAACACAAACCUCUCCCCAUGUUUCCAUUGUGUAAGAAAAGUUUGCCGGUUUCUCAGACGCGCCUAGUCCCAGAAGAUCGAUUGCGUAGACCGAAUAGUUCUUCGCAAGAACAGGGAUGUUUCUGCGACCAAAUUCACGGAUUUCACAAGCUAGAAUAUCAUCCAGAGAACCAAUUACCUCCUGAAAUGCCCGAUAGAAGCCCCAAAUCCAUGGACGAGAAGAAUCGCGGGGCCUCCACUCGAAACGAGAGCAGCGUAGUUGAUCUUGUACAACCCCUUCCACUCCCAGACCUUGCACUGGCUGUAAAUCUCUUCCAUUCCCGGGCCGAUGUCUCCAGGAGCGACCUCUUGCUGCUCCUCUCCACCGCCUGCCAGGGCAAUUCCAAUGCUCGCCUCCGGCAAUCCAACAACGCUGCUGCUCGCGCUUGCUUCGCUUUCUUGAGACGACGAUCCAGCUGCGCAACUCACGCGAUUUCUGUAAGCAAUGCGGCAUCUUCCCCCCUGGAUCGAAAAUCUAGAAGAAGAAACGCUGAGAGAAGCGUUGAGGGCUAUUGCCGCCAUAGCCAAAUUAACGUUAAGUUUCUAGGGUUCUUCAUUUUCCCGCCAUUUUCUUUCCUCUUUCUUCUAGGGCUUUAGCGAGCGGCUAUGGCGGGUGAGUCGAUUUCUCUGCGCGCCGCUGUUGACGACGACGAAUGCAGGUGAUCCGAUGGAAAUCGACGGAUUCAAGCAACAGCAAGGGCAGGCGCUUUGCAAUCCCGAGCUUUUGAGCCUCUAUUACAGUGAGAUUGUUCGUUCUAGUGUGCUAGCGCCUAAGCUGGAUCGCGAUUCUCCAGGACGGAUUUUCCCUUUCGCUGAGAUGUACAAGUGGCUAUCGUAUGGCAAUGGUACGUUUCUAGACGAUACCAGUCUAGAUCUAACUUCGGUCGUCUUUUCGUAGAUGGAAAGCAUCCUUCUUGCGAUUCUUCGUUUUUUGGGCGGAGAGAGUUCUCUUUCACUCUGGAGAACGACAUUUAUUUGCGGUACAUGUCUUUCCGCGAUGCGUCGGAAUUUGAAGCUACUGUGUGUGAAAAGCGUCCUCAAAAAAUUGAUAUUGGAGCGGUUUACAGUGUGGAUGUAAGUUCCUGGUUGUGUUUUUUUUCUUUCUUUCCUAACACUUUUUUCCUCGCAGCCUGCCAAGCGCUUAGCGUAUGCCAACGUUUCCAAUGAUAGAGUUUUUGCUCCCGUCGAGAAGGAAUUGGUAUUUGAUGUUGUGAGUGCCAGAACUUCUAUAUAUAAGGGUCAGAAACUCACCACGCUUGCAGGACAUGACAGACUACGAUGACAUUCGAAACUGUUGUUCUGGAGCCGACAUUUGUUUGAAGUGCUGGCCGCUCAUGACAAUAGCUAUCAAAGUUGUUGAUUCGACUUUGCGAGGUAGCGGUCGUCUGAUUUUGGUUGAAUGCUCAUUGGUUUCUGGCGCCUAGAGGACUUCGGGUUUGAUCACAUCCUAUGGGUAUAUAGUGGACGACGAGGAGUACACUGCUGGGUGUGUGACGCACGAGCUCGCAAGCUGACUAAUGAGCAAAGAGCGUCCAUUGCUGACUACUUUCGAGUUUAUAAGGUUUGAGAUUUAAUUCUUUAGUCGUGAGGAUCUGACUUCGUGAAAAGGGUAACGAGAAUAACAACAGGAAGGUGUCCUUGCCUACACAUCUUCAUCCAUUUCUAGCGUAUGUGUCUCGUUCUUUUUUGUUAGUUAUUGAUUCGACAAUGGACAUGACAGGAGAACUUAUUCACAGUUUUUGAGUCGCUAUUUUGACGAAGAAAUCCUGAUAAAGCAGAGUUUGCUGCAUCCUCAAGAGAAUGCUGACAAGGUUCUUAAGCUGCUCUCUGGUGAAGGUAUGUCAAUGCAGUAUAUGUCUAGCGUUUAUUCCGAGCUUCCAGUUCAAUUGGAGGAGAAAAAGCGUAAUAAUACAUUGCUCCCUGACAAGAUAAAUAGACAGCGCUGGGCAGAUUUACAGAGGAAGCUCAUGCAGAAGCGAGGUAUUCAAAGAGAGCUUGUAUUUACUUAUACGUACCCAAGACUGGACCUGGAGGUGAGGGAACAACUUUAAGUUAUUUCCCCUCUUGUUUUGCUCACUGUUGUAUAACAGGUAACUAAGAAAAUGAAUCAUCUGCUAAAGGCGCCUUUCUGCAUCCAUCCAAAGACUGGUAAUGCAUGGCUUACCAUCUUAAACUGUUUUAUCACUUGUCAGUUGUGGUGUAGGACGCGUCUGCGUGCCUAUCGAUCCUGCAGACUGCGACAAUUUUGAUCCAACGACUGUCCCGACAUUGCCAGAGGUACUGGUCUUCAGAUUAAAACAUGUAAAUUCUAGUUUUUCUUCUGUUUCCAGCUGCUCAAUGAUCUAAACAACGGCGAUGCGCGUCCAGUAUCCAAAGGUACCGGCUCUUUCUUUUUAAGUUCUCACAUUUUCCUGUACAGAUUGGGAACGCACGUCCCUUGCCAAGUCAAUUCGCUUCUUCAAGUCGUCCUUCCUCGAGCCUCUUCUCAAGGAAUGCAGAGUAAGUUUUUCUUUUUUUUUUUCCGCAACAGGUUUGAAAUUCCUGGCCGUGCAAAAUGCAGUGUCAGCUGGAAGCAAGCCAUCACAAGAAGCUGCAAGAAAUGUCGGCAAGACCAAACUUUACCUGGUAGUUUUUAAAUGAAAGCAAUGUAACCUUUCAUUCAUGGUAAGAAUAAAAGCUAUUGUUCAUCAAUGUGUUUGGAUUUAACGUUGUGAUAUUUUAGGGCCUUGGCUUUCGAGCCUGUCUUCUCACUGUUCGCUGUGUCUACUGUAGUUCUUUUCGGCUUGCAUUAGCAGGUCUCGUUUUGCUUCUCACCUUGUGUGACAGUUUGCCGUCUUCGUGUCUCUAGAAAUGGGGGAAGCGAACAUUGGCCUCAAGCCAAUAGACGCGGAAGAAUUUCGCAAGCAUGCUCACGAGAUGGUGGACUUCAUUGCAGAUUAUUACCGUGAUAUUGAGAGCUUUCCCGUUCGCAGUCAAGUCUCUGUACGUUUUUCCUUCUUCCUCCAAUUUCUAAUUUGCCUGACACUUGAUUUAUUGAGCAGCCUGGAUACUUGAAAACUUUGUUGCCUCCGGCUGCGCCUGAAGAUCCCGAAACGCUGGAGGAAGUUUUUGCCGGUAUGUUCUUUUUCCAAGCGCAAUAAAAUGCCGAGUUUCCUUCCUUUCAGAUAUUCAGAGCAAGGCAAAGCCCGAAUUUUUUCGGAUAUUAUCCGUCCAACAGUAGCACGGCAGGGCUCUUGGGGGAAAUGUUAAGUGCUGGAUUGAACAUUGUUGGAUUUAGCUGGAUAACUUCGCCGGCGGCGACAGAGCUGGAGACCAUUGUUCUUGACUGGCUUGCAAAGCUGUUGAAACUUCCCGACGAGUUUCUAUUUGGAGGUAUGGUGGAAAUUUUAGAUUAUAAGAUCAUUAUUCUUACACUUUACAAUGCAGGUAAUGGCGGCGGAGUGAUUCAAGGGACUGCUAGUGAGGCAGUUGCUGUGGUGCUACUCGCUGCUCGAACUCGAGCCAUUUCAGGAAACAAGAGAAAAGGUUUGUCGGAAGCGGAGAUUCUUUCAAAGCUGGCGGUGUAUACGUCAGAUCAAACUCAUUCCUGUCUGCAAAAAGGAUGUGUGGUACGCCAUUUCAAGCUUCUAGUCCUUUCAAUCCGUGAUAACCUCUUCGUGUUUGUUGUACAGAUUGCUGGGAUUCCUCUUGAAAAUCUAGUGAUUGUUCCAACUGAUAGCUCAACAAAUUAUGCAGUAUCACCAGCUGCGAUGAGACAAGCACUUGAGGAUGGCGUCAAGCAGGGACUUUUGCCAUUCUUCCUUUGCGGGACUGUGAGUUCGUGCAACUAGCUUGUCUCCCUCCUUACGCCUGUUAUGUUCUUUCCUAGGUGGGAACUACAUCAUCUUCGGCCGUGGAUCCAUUGUCUGCUUUAGGAGAUAUUGCAAAGGUAUAGCUCUUUUCUUUUCAAUUUCUAUCGAUCUCAAAAUGCAAGAAUGUUACCAGGAUUUUGGAAUGUGGUUCCACGUUGACGCUGCCUACGCUGGCUCUGCGUGCAUCUGCCCAGAGUUUCGGCAUCACCUGGAUGGAGUUGAGAAAGCAGAUUCGUUUAACAUGAACGCACAUAAGUGGCUGCUUACAAACUUCGAUUGUUCUGCUCUUUGGGUGAAGGUAAAGUGGUGUUCAUUCAUUUUCCAAGAGUUCUUAUACCUUUUGCUUUUCUCGAUAGGAAUCCAGCCAUCUGGUGUCAGCUCUUUCUACAACACCUGAGUUCUUGCGUAACAAGGUAGCGCAUAUCUUUCUCACUUUCGUGUUUAAGUUUCCUUUUCCUUUCUUUGUUGUUCCAGGCAUCUGAUUUAAAUCAAGUUGUCGACUACAAAGACUGGCAGAUACCUCUCGGCAGAAGAUUCAGGUUCUAGUCUUCCGUUUUUCCCUUUAAAAUCAAAUCCUUAGGAAACAUUGUAAAACAGGUCGUUGAAGCUGUGGUUUGUCAUGCGCAUGAAUGGCGCUUCUGGAUUACGGAGCUACAUAAGGAACCAUGUCCGCCUUGCAAAGCGCUUCGAAGGCUUCGUGCGUGAAGACCCACGCUUCCAAGUAAGGCACACGUUCUAUUCUUCAAACACGCUGGCACCAUUUUGCAGCUUCUAGUUCCUCGCACAUUCGGCUUGAUUUGCUUCAGGCUAAAGCCAGAAAGCGAUGAUCCGGACAACGGACGCACUCUAAACUCGACGCUUCUGGAGACUGUCAAUUCCAGCGGAAGAAUGUUUAUCACUCACACGGUAAGCCAGCAAAACUAUCGCGAAUCCGAGCUCUCUUCUCAAAGUUAUACUUGCCUGAAUAGGUGCUCUCGGGCGUCUACACGCUGAGGAUGGCCAUCGGCGCUCCACUCACGCAAGACAAGCACGUAGACGCUGCGUGGAAGCUCAUCCAAGAAGAAGCCACCACCCUCUUUGAGAUAAACUUGGUUAAGGGCCCUUCGCAUAUUCUUGCGAAUAAUCUUUGUUCCGAAAUUUAAAAGACUUGGUUUAGGGUUUAGGUGCUUCGGAUAUGCUUGCGAAUAAUCUUUGUUUUUAGUAUAUUCUCUGAUAUUUGGAUAUGAUCUGGGCCAUUGAUUCUAGGGUUCCUCGUGGUUUUGCGGCGAUAGACUAGAGUCACUCAAGCGCCUCGUGUCCAUGGCGCAUUUUGAGCGCUGAAAGUCGCCAAGAUCGAUGUCUUCCACGGGAUACCAGCAGCGCUGAUGAUCCUUUCCAUCAGCUUUGUCAAAUUUCUCGUGCCACAUCUGUGAAGAAUGAUCCGAAGAAUGAUCUAUUCCAAUCGUGUUAGAUAAAUGUUUGCUAAGUGUAACGCUAUUUACAGAUCAAGGCCCGGCACCAUCGCCACCGUCACGACCCAAUACUCGGUUCCCACGGGCAGCUCAUACGAGUUUGCUCGAUGCCUCCCCAUCACCGACGAGGAAGAAGAAGCUCCUCCCUCCAAGAUCGAGAAGCUGGAGGAGCUAGCACCGGGCGGCGCUGCGACGGUGUGGUGCUCGAUGUGGACGAUCUGGCCGACUAUAUACUUCCGCCGCUGCUCGUUCUUGCCGUGGAACAGCGCGAUGGAUUCCUCCGAUAGAAAAUAGUUUGGGCAGUUCCGGUUGAGCGCUUCGUAGUGACCAGCCGCGUUUGGAGCGAAGAGUGCCAGCUCGUGGACCUCGAAUCGUGUCAGGCAGAUCUUCUCCUUGCUAGCCUGCAAGGUUUCCACAGAGUCUCCCAAGGUGUCAAGAACCAAAAAAAAAAACGGGUUUUUCUUUAGAAAAAAUCUCCAGCCAUUCUCUCUAAGUCGUCUAGAGUAAGUACCUGUUUCUCAAGUUUACACUUUGCGAAGAGGCUCUUGGCCAUCUCGGCUUUGUUCUCCACCUCCUUCCUCAGCUGGCUCUGCGAGCUCUCCGCAAGCUUGACGCGCUCGGCGAGCUCGGCGCGCUGCUGAGCCAGAAACGUCACCCUGUCCGCUAGGAUGCUGAUAAACGAUCGAAACUCCGCUCCCACAUCGUCUCCACCAUCACUGCCAAAGAACUAACUUAGCAAGCCUUCCAAAGAACUAACUUAGCAAACUUUCCAAAGCGCGGACGAACGACUUACCUCGGCAGUGAAGCGGACAAGGAGCGUAGAGAGUCCAUGAAACCGGCAGGGCCACCGGCCGGAGAGGCAAUGCAGCUCCUCAGCCUCUCCAGCAAGCCGCGAAGCUUGACGCUGGAGGCGCGAAGAACGUUGUACUCGGACGCUCGGCGGUCGGCCGCGCAGAGGUGGAUUUGCGCCUCCUCCCGUGCCUCGUGAAGCCUAUUCUCCAGAUGCGCAGAGUUCAUCUGACACUGCCUGAGUAGCUCCGCGCUCGUCUCAAGCUCUUCUCGAAGCCUCACCACCUCUGAAAGCACGGGCUCGUCCGCCGGCCACUCCCUCGUCUGUGAGAACACGUCCUUGACUGGAUGCUGGUUCUUCGCUUCCUCGGACUGUGCGCUACUGUCUUCCUGUCCCGUGGCACCAUCCAUCGGCUCCACCGCUGCUCCAGUGAUAGCCGAGUUAUCCGACUCUUCCCUGCGUUGAUCUUCACUCGACACCAUCGUAUCCAAGUCGGUUCUCUCACGUUCCUCUUGCUCCCUCAGCCUGUCUUCCAGCUCUCGGAUCCGGGACUCGUAUGAACUACACCGGCCCUCCUUCUCGGUUAUGAUUCUGUGCAAGUGUUUGGCAUGCUCGUCUUUCAGCCUCAGAGCCUCGGCAGUUCUCUCGGCCGAGCUCAAGUUCCCACGUAUCUCUUGGUCCUCGGCAUCCCCCAGGAUGUCUGGCUGAAAGCCGGGGUCGAUGCUGCAGAUAAAUGCGAUGGACGCUGCUAACUGAGCUCUCAGCCUGGCAUUCUCGACCUCCAACUUACUCGUGCCAGAUAUCUCGUCAGUGCAAAAGUCUUCCUUUCCUUCUGGAUCACCCCAGUCGUCCGCCGGAGAAUCAGCCUUGAGUGACCCUGUUACCUGAUAAGGAGCAUACUUCUCCACAUCCGCCAAGUCGAUGUCCAGUAAGUUGGAGUCGAAAGACGCGAGGUUGAUGAGGAACUGACUGGGAACCUCAAGCAGUCCCAUUUGCGAUAAAAGCUCUCGAGGCAAAGCAGCCGUGUGCGUUUGUAGAAACUCUUCCCUGCGGACCACCUCUUUCUCCCUCUUGGCGGCCAUCCUCUCUGCGAGUUGCCCGGCCUGCCCGAGGUAGAGCUUCAUAUAAGACUUCCUCCUCACGACCUCGGCGAGGCAAGCCUUGUAAGAACUCCCGACCCUGCGGAACUGCUUGAGCAUCUCAAAGUUCUCGUCCUGGCGAGCCAUGACUUCCCGGAACCCGGAUAUCUGGUUCCUCGUCAACUUUAUACUGGCCUGGAGCGACGCCACGCUCUGCAUCCUCUGGUGGACGCACAGCGUCAUCGCGUUCUUCCCCACGACCAGCUGCUGGAGAAGCUUUGCGAGCUCGGCAUCGCAGUCCUCCAUUCUCGGCAAGUGACUCUUGACCUGCACAUCAUGCAUCGGGCCGAGAGCCAACAGUGCGUCCUGAACUUGCAUGGAUGAAUACCUUCCGUCGGAGUAGUCAUCGCUCAGCCUCUUCACCUUGGUCACAUCCUUCCUGGAAAGAAAAGAAGCAAGAUCAUUUCAACUUCCACUAGAAACUUCAUAAAAAACUCUUUUUCUUACCUCAACGACUGAAGGAUCGUCGACUGUUCAUCGAUAAACCUUGCGUGCAAUCCAAGAGUCCGCUCCAGAUUCUCCAAGCUCACCGCGGAUGGCUCCUCGAGAAAGUCUUCCACCCUCCGCUUCAAGCCCGAGUACUCGGACGCCAGCCCGGCCACCUUCGUGCAGAGCUGCUUGUGAUACACGCCACAGUCGUCGGCCGACUUGCGCAAGCUCCCUUCCUUGACGCAAUCCAAGAGAGUGUACCGUGUCUCCGUCCUGAGGGCCGGAUGGAGCUUGCAAGCACGCAAUCUCUCGAUAUCCUUGCCCAAGUUUGCCAGAACCUCCGUGUGCUGCUGGCUCUGCCGCUGGAAAUCCUCCACAAACUCGCCAUAGACGUGCUGGAUGCUGCGGUAGUGCUGCUCCAUGCUUCGCCGGACAGUCUCUAGCGCCAUGUCCUGGACACGAAUCUCUCGAGCGAGCUUGUGGCAUGCAUCGAGCUUCUUCUGGCUAGCGCUCAAGAUGGCGUGACCCUUCUGGAAGUUAUACCGGAAUUGCCUCUCGGAAGAAACCAAAGGAGAGGAGCUUCCACUCCUCUCGGCCGCUGGAGCCUCCGGAAGAACUGGCACGACAUUCUCUGGAGCUCCCUGCUGUGGCGGCAGCGGCGAAUUCGGCGCUAGUCGCUGGCGAUUGAAGAGGAAGAUCGGCCUCUCGUCGUCUGGGAGGCGGUAGAAUCCCAGUGACCUGUGUGAAUCCAAGCGGGCAUCGCCGGAGAAGAGGAGCUGGUCUUGCCUGAGCACGCCGGUGAGCGACGCCAAGACAUCCUGGAUUUCUUCCACCCUCGUCCCCGCCUGGCAGUCCUCCAGCUCGAAGGACUGGCCGCUCUCGGCGACAUGGAUCAUCAUCGUUGGCGAUGGAAAUUUUGCCCUUUCACAUUCCUCGCCCUCUUCCAAGAGCGCGAUCGAUCGAUGGAGCGAGGAGAGGAGACGAGGAAGCGUGGAUCACUGCCACACGCGUCCUAAAUGCUUACUUGAAUUGCGCCCGCGGGGAAAGCAAGGAUUUCUCCACUCGAGGACGCCGCCCUAACUGAAGCCCUCGCUGGUUUAUAGGGUUUAGAUGCUUCCAAACUUACAAUCCUUGGGUACAAUUAGCCCCUUAAUAUAGUGGUUGUGCGUAACCACUAAUUAGAAGUCCUCCAUGGCUUCUCGCGAUCAUGCUCGGUGCUCUUUUCCAUGCAAGCCAAGCUUACACUGCUGUUCAAAGGCGCAAGCACAAAGAUCUAUCGCACAGUUUUCCGGAUUGCUUGUUGUGAUUCAUGGACGCUAAAGAACGAGUUUACCGAGAACUACGAGCUUGUAAAGGGAGCACUAGCAAAACUGGGCAAUGAGGAUGAGGGCCCGUUUCUCUGUGAAGCCCACGAGCCAGGAGCACUGCCCAAGCUCUUCAAGGCCAUGUCAUCCCUCGGCCAAAGUGGUGGUGCUGCCAUUUGAGACCUUUAGGGACUUUCUCUUAUGUGUCAAUGGCUUCUGUUAUAUAGCUCGAAUUUUUUUUAUAUUAACACUCUUUCCUAUUAUCAUUACAAAUGCAUAAUACAUUUCAUUUAUAAUUUUUGAACUGAUUCUUCUAGAAUUUCAACACUUAAAUUGCACUUUUAUAGAGUCGAAAGUAUAUUUUUUUAAUAUACAGAGAACACAAUUUCACAUUGAAAAACUAUAACCACUAGCAACGUUCUUAAAGAUUUUUGAUAAUAAUUAUAUUUUAUAAAUAUUUCUAUAAGUUCUUUUUUUUCAAUUUUUGCUAUGUAAAAUACAUUUAGUAUUGUGAGUGCAUGGAAUAUGGAAAGGGAAUACAGAAAUGUGCAUAUCAAUUAGCCCAAAAACCCUAGCUUAUAUACAAGAGCGAGUGGUCUGGAUUGAAACCAAUCCGACGGCUACCAAAAUCCACUACGCUAAUAUUAGUAUACGGCAUCGUAGCCGUACACUUGGCCCUCACAUCAUCCCCUCCUCUCGGAAUAAUGGAAGGCCGUCAGGGUUCUCUUGUAGAUGGGCCGGGAUCUGGAGGAACGUCAGGAGGAGGCAUUGGUGGAUCUGUAGACGGUAUUAACUGCUCCUGAUCCCUUUGUAUGAAGCGUUUUAACCGCUGCACAUGCACAAUCUCCGGAGGAUCGGCCUGCUGAACGUCAUGCCGAACCUCAUAAACUUGUGGUCCAACUUGCCGCAACACCCGAUACGGUCCUUUCCACUGCGCAAGGAGCCCCUUAGAUAAACCACGUACCGUAAGAUGGGGAAAACAGAUUAACACACUUUGUACUCCGCAGGUGGACGAUGAUGGGAAUUGUAACGCCGUUGUUGUCCCACUUGUACGCGGCCUAAGUGUUCAGCAGACUCUACUCGGACAAGUGGAAGAAUGCUUGUCAAAUAUUGAUCCCAUGACCUAGCAUCAGGAGCUCGUGGCAAUCGCGAAGGUAAACCCAGCUCUGUUGGUAAUAUUGGAUCAUGACCAUAUAGAAGUUUAUAUGGUGAAGCACCAACAAAACUCUGCACCCCUGUGACAUAGGCAUACCGAAGAGACGGCAAAUAACCAUCCCAAUCCGAAUGUUGAAAGUUCACAUACUUCGCAAUCAUCCCUUUGAAUGUCCGAACGAGCCGUUCCACCAGACCGUCUGAUUGUGGAUGAUAAGCACUCGUAAAAGUGUGGCGUAUCCCCAACCGAGAUGUCAAAACAUGAAAUACCUCAGCCAUAAAUGCAGGACCAUUAUCCGAAAGAAUCCGCUCUGGACAAGAAUGCUGGAACACCACUCGAUUGAGGAGGAAGUAUCCAACAGCAGUUGCAGAAGCACUAGCAAGAGCACCAACUUCCACCCAACGAGUCAAGUAGUCAGAAGCAAUAAUAACAUACUCAUUGCCAGCAGUCGAUCGCGGAAAAGGUCCCAUAAGAUCAAACGCCACCAACUCAAACGGACGAGAAACUGCAAUUGACUCCAACCGUCUUUCCGCAGCACAAGGGGGAGUAUUACGAGCUUGGCACCAAACGCAGCUACGCACAUACCGGAUAAUAUCACGUCGCAUCUCUGGCCAAUAGAAAGAUCUGCGCAGCUUCUCGGUGACACGACGGUGUCCCAUAUGCCCACCUAGAAUAGGAGAAUCAUGGUAGGCAUGGAGAAACCGCGGAAUAAACACCGAAGGCACCACCAGCCGUAAAUGAUCAGCAGGAUCCGUCCCCACAAAAUAAAGAAGGCCAUCUUCAAGGCGAUAUUGAGAAUGUAAAUGCCGAAAAGGCAAGUCAUCAGCAAGUGAUGCAGGAUUCUCAAACCCAUCUCGAAGCCUUCGAAUCCACGGCUCAAUCUUUUGAGCCUCGCGAACCUCAUCAAGAGAAGGUAGAUCUUGCUCUAUGCCCUGUGAGCACUGAACGUCAAUGACAGCGACCGCCGACGGCACAGAAUCCUCAUUUAGAAAAUCCACAGAUGCUGGAACAACAGGUUCGUCAGAAACAUGAGAAGUGAGUGGAGAAGGAAGAGGAGCUCGAGAAAGGGCAUCAGCAUCAGCCAUAGAACUCCUUGGGCGAUGAACAACAUCAAAAUCAUAUAUCUGAAGCUUCAAAGCCCAUCGAGCCGUACGACCAACCAGGUUCUUCCGCUUCAAUAAUGAAGUAACAGCAGCAUGGUCACCUUCAAGUAACGUCCGAGAACCAUGUAGAUAUGCAUGAAGUUUCUCGAAACCCCAGACUGCUGCUAAACACUCCUUCUCCGUCGUGGAGUAGUUCAUCUCCGCUGGUUGUAAUGUACGGCUGAUGUAUGCAAUGGGAUGGCGCUGACCAGGCACACUCGAGCUCUCUUGCAUCAACACACCUCCAAGACCAAUGUCAGAAGCAUCCACGCGCAAAAUAAAAGGUCGAGUGUAGUCAGGAUAUGCCAAAACCGGAGGAGUCGUCAAUAGCUCUUUGAGAUUCACGAACGCCCGCUCACAAUCGGGAGACCAGAUGAAAGAUGACGUUGAUGACUUCAGCAACGCUCGCAAUGGUGUAGUGCGAUCGGAAAGAUGAUCCACAAAACGACCGAGAUACUGCACCUUACCCAAAAAACGCUGCACAUCAUUCACACACUUUGGAGUAGGGAACUUUAGAACAGCCACAAGUUUGUCAGGAUCAACUUGCAAACCCUCACGAGAAAUACGGUACCCAAGAUAAGUUGUGUCCUUGGACCCAAACACGCACUUCGACCGCUUCAGCUUUAAACCAACGUCGCAUAGCCGAUCCAACACUUUACAAACAUCACGAACAUGCUCCUCCCACGUCCCCUCCGAGUGGAUCAAGACAUCAUCAAUGAAGUCAGCUGUCACCUUCGGCAUAUCGCAAAGAACCUCGUCCAUCAUCCGCUGAAAAGUUGCUGGAGCAUUGUUCAAACUAAACGGCAUCACCAAAAACUCGUACAAACCAAAUGGUGUACGAAAAGCAGUCUUAGGAAUAUCUUCUUCAGCCAUCGGUACUUGCCAAUACCCAGAAGCAAGAUCUAGCUUGGUGAACCAACGACUUCGCCCCAGACGAUCCAAGAGAUCAGCAGUGUGAGGAAGAGGGUACACGUCCGGAAUCGUCACUUCAUUUAACGGACGAUAGUCGAUGCAGAAACGAAUACUCCCAUCAGGCUUCGUCACAAGAUGAGGUUCACAUGCCCAAGGACUCCGCGACUUCCGAAUAACACCCUUCUCCAACAUCUCCUUGACGUUUGCACGUAAAAUCUUGAUCUCCUUGGGUGACCGACGACGAACAGGAACCUUGAUUGGACGAGCAUCCCCGGUUGGAAUGGGAUGACGUGUGGCAAUCUUGGCCCCAGACGAUAGGUCAAACUCAAAGAGAUCAGAAUACUCCUUCAUGAGCUGGUCAACAGCUGCAACACAAAGAUCAUCGGAGGGAUCGGAAAAAGGAAGAGCAGAACAAGAUGAAAACACAAGAGGAAAUAGUGGGGGAACAAAAGUAAUGGAAGCAAAGGUAGAAGUAGAGGGACGAAGAGGUACGGAAGUGAGAGGAAUGGAUGAAACAUAAGGAAGUAUGAGACAAGGGGGAAAAGCCUCAAAGUCACACUUGGCAUGAUUGUGCUGCAACCAAUCCAUACCAAGAAUGAGGUCAAAAGCUUGACUCGGCACCACCCGCAACGACUGCAACUCAAGCUCGAGAUCGCCCACACGCACAACCAGGUCCGCCUCAUCUCGUGCACAUGCAUGUGUACGGCCGUUGCCAUAAAGAAUGAAAACUGGAUCUGCCGCACGACGCAAGUGUAGACGACAACGUGUGGCAACAGGUCGAGCAAUAGAAGAUAAACUCGAACCUGUAUCAACCAACACGGAGAGAAGAAUAGGAGACCUCUUGUUAUAAAAACGAGCUUGGAAAGUAAACACUGGAUGAACCGGUGCCGAGUGAACCCCUUGAUGAUACUCCCGAAAGAAAGAUGGAGGGGUCACUAACUUAUUCGCGCAAGGUCCCUCCAUUACUCGCGCGACUCCUUGUUUCCCGAAUGCACCUCGGUAUCCAAACCUUCCACCGCAGCAGCACCAACGGGACGUUGCUGACGCCAAGGUCUCCACCCAGGAAAUGGAGGUCGCCAAUCCGGAAAGCGCCAACAACGCCGAUAAGUAUGACCAACUUCAUGACACACCCAGCAACGAACGUCACGGCCACGACCACGUGCUCGCCCUUGUCCUUGGACUCAAGUAGCAGCAGCAUCAACCUCCAUGGGAACAGGACCAUCACUCAUAGGAAGUGGAGCUGAAGGACGUGUAGCAAGAAGUGGAAGAGGCGACGUCUCAUAACAUUGUGCCAAGCGAAGAGCAUCGUCAAGAGUGGCAGGAGCAAGUGCAUGCACAAGUCCGACAAGAUCUUGACGAAGUGCUGGCCACAACAUUCCUAGCUUGAUCCGCUCUAACAUAUUUGGCUCCGCACGAAGCAAAAGACUUCGGAAACGAACGCCAAAUUGCAUCACCGACUCAGAUGGCCCUUGGUGAAGACGAUGCAAUUGUUGGAAGGCAUCAUCACAAUCGUCGGCGUGUCCGAAGGCGCGUUUGAAGACGUCCAGAAGAACACUCCAAUCGCCACGAGUAGCUGCACUCAAUCCAUUGUACCACUGCAAUGCCGUCCCUUGGAGACAUGUGGGGAACUCACGCAAACGUCGAGCAUCAUCCCAAGAAUGAUAUGUGGCAAUCACCGUGAAGUGAUCGAACCAAUGGUACACAUCAUCCCCAGGAUUCCCACGAAAGAACUCCGGCCGAACGCGAGGAUUGGCACCAAAAGCAGGAGGAGUUGUACCAUGUGCCGUGAACGCCGCCAUCAACUGAGUUUGGUUGUUCAAUUGCAAGCGCAUAGCAUCAAGCAAUUGAACCAACUGCUGCUCUAGAGUCAAAGGAGGAGAUUGCGGAUCGGCCAUGAAAAUGAAUGAAAAAGAAAGAGCAAAAGAAGAGAAAUGACAAAAAGCUGGAAAGAAAUGGUAGAUCUAGACAAUGCAAAAAGCUAGAUCUAAACCAAAAUCCUGAAAGGAAAGAACAAAAGAAAGGAAAUGGAAAAAGCUAGAUCUAGACAAUGCAAAAGCUAGAUCUAAAUUGAAAUCCCAAAUCCAAGCACUCCCCAGGGACAAUCAAAGGUGCCCCUCACCUCCACCAAUGUGAGUGCAUGGAAUAUGGAAAGGGAAUAUAGAAAUGUGCAUAUCAAUUAGCCCAAAAACCCUAGCUUAUAUACAGGAGCGAGUGGUCUGGAUUGAAACCAAUCCGACGGCUACCAAAAUCCACUACGCUAAUAUUAGUAUACGGCAUCGUAGCCGUACACUUGGCCCUCACAGUAUGAUAUUUUUAAAAUUAAAAAACAUAUUCUAGAAUUCUAUAACUGUAUUAUUAUAUUUAUAACUCAUUAUAGACACAGUUCUUUUCAAACAUAAUUGCAAUUGUUAAGCUUAAAGAGGAUAAAUUUUCAAACAUAAUUGCAAUUGUUAAGCUUAAAGAGGAUAAAUUUGUUUAAGCCCUCUAAGUUUAAUGAAGAAUCUAAGAUUUUCAGAUUUUUAAGACUUGAGAUUUAAAAUAAAAGAACUUUAGAGAUGGUUUUAAAAACAUAUACUUCUAAUUAUUUUUAUUUUAUGCAAAAUCAACAGUUUUAGUAACCUUUACAAUAACUCACUCACAAUUAUUCUAAGUUUGAGCAAGCAUUAAAACUCACCCACAGGUCAGGAAUUUCAAUAAGAGCGUAGGCAAAUAUCCAGAUUGCUUCCAUACUGUGAGGUAAUAGCAAGAAAUACUUUCACAGAUAGUGAGAUAAUUACUGGGGUAUUUUUUCCUCAAGAUCAGGAUCAUGCUGGGUUUAAUUUGAUGACUUUGGGCUGAUACUCUUAACAGGAGGCUCUCGUAUUCGAGAUCACAAGUUACUGCAAAAAUCAAGCAAAAAUCAAAGGCCAAUAAAGUGUUCCAAGAAUUUCUGGAUGAGACGAUUGCCACCAGCAGGGCUUGAGCUUUGCUGUUGGAUACGAUCACCGUGAAGAAUGGGCUAAGCUUCAGGCUCAUGGAAGGACCAAAGUCAAAUCAAUCGAUUUUUUAAAGUUUAAGCCUGUUACCUUCAGCCUUCUCCUCUGCCUUCUCGGAAAUUCACGUAGGUGGAGCCACCUUGAACACGCUCUUUAUGUUAUAAAAAGCGACCCUUCAUUCGAUCAAACCUCAUUCCAUUCGCAUUUCCAAUUUUCCUUGUCAAUUUUCCAGCCAUGGCUUCUCGCGAUCAAGAGGUGACACUGCUCAGCGCUUGGCCCAGCCCCUAUUCCAUGCGAGUCAAGCUUGCACUAGCGCUCAAAGGCAUCGAGCACGAAGAUCUCCCCCAAGACCUUGGCAACAAGAGCAAGAUCCUGCUCGAAUCCAACCCAGUUCACAAGAAGAUCCCCGUUCUCAUCCACAAGGGCAAGCCCAUCCUGGAAUCGGCCAUCAUUGUCCACUACAUCGACGAGGUCUGGCCCGAAACAAGCCCACUCUUGCCUCAGGACGCAUUCCUUCGCGCACAGCACCGCUUCUGGAGCGAUUUCAUCGACAAAAAGGUAUGGAUUCUCUUACUAGAAAUCUGCUGCUACGGGUUUCAUACUCUUCUUGCUUAUCGAUCACACAGCUUUCCGACUCCUGGAUACGAUUCUUGCGUAGUAACGAUGACGCGGCCGUGAACGAGGAGUUCAACCAAAACUGUUUGCUUAUCGAGGGAGCUCUGGCGGAGCUGGGCAGUGAGGAAGAGGGCCCCUUCUUUGGUGGCGCGAGCAUGUCGUUCUUGGAUGUGCUGCUGGCACCCUAUGCGGUGUGGAUCCCAGGAGUUGAGCAAGUAAUGGGCUUGAAGCCCGCGAAAUGCCCGCGUUUCCACAAGCUCUUGGCGGCCGCGGCGGAGCAUCCCUCGGCCAAAGUGGCGCUGCCGCAAGUCGAGAAGCUCAAGGAGUUUAUUCGCGUUCGCUUUGCGAGCAAGUGAGCGAUGACUGUUUACAAAUCUAAUAAAUCUUUUGCCCGACUGUCCUGGAAGAAGAUUGGAGUCAAGACGUUAGUGUCCUCCUUGCAGAUUGUGCUAGUCCUUGAGUUACAGAAUCCCAGUGAUCGCCGGAGAAGAGGAGCUGGUCUUGCCUGAGCACGCCAGUGAGCAACGCCAAGACAUCCUGGAUUUCUUCCACUUCCCCACUUGCCAAUUAAAUUAAAAAAACAUAUUCUAGAAUUCUAUAACUGUAUUAUUAUAUUUAUAACUCAUUAUACACACAGUUCCUUUCAAAUAUAAUUGCAAUUGUUAAGCUUAAAGAGGAUGAAUUUGUUUAAGCCCUCUAAGUUUAAUGAGGAAUUUAAAAUUUUCAGAUUUUUAAUACUUGAAAUUAAAAAUAAAAGUGUGAGUGCUUGGAUUAUAGAAAGGGAAUACAGAAAAUGUGCAUAUCAAUUAGUCCAAAAACCCUAGUUUAUAUAUAGGAGCAAGUGGUCCGGAUUGAAAACAAUCCGACAGCUAUUAAAAUCCCACUACACUAAUAUUAAUAUAUAGCAUCGUAUCUGUACACUUAGCCCUCACAUCAUCUCCUUUUAUUGGAAUAAUGGGUUUUCUUGUAGACGGGCCGGGAUCUAGAGGAACAUAAGGAGGAGGCAUUAACGGAUCUGUAGGUGGUAUUAAUUAUUCUUGAUCCCUUUGUAUGAAGCAUUUCAAUUGCUACACAUGCACAAUCUCUAGAGGAUUGGCCUGCUGGACGUCAUACCGAACCUCAUAAACUUGUGGUCUAACUUGCCACAACACCCGAUACAGUCCUUUCUAUUGCACAAGGAGCCCCUUAGAUAAACCACGUACCGUAAGAUAGGGAAAAUGGACUAACACCAAAUCAUCCACUUUGUAUUUUGCAGGUGGACGAUGAUGGGAAUUGUAACGUCGUUGUUAUCCCACUUGUACGCAGUCUAAAUGUUUGGCAGACUCUGCUCGGAUAAGUGGAAGAAUGCUCCUCAAAUACUGAUCCCACGACCUAGCAUCGGUAGCUCGUGGCAAUCGCGAAGGUAAAUCCAACUCCAUUGCUAAUAUUGGAUCAUGACUAUAUAGGAGUUUAUAUAGUGAAGCACCAACAAAACUCUGCACCCCUAUGACAUAUGCAUACCGAAGAGACGGCAAAUAACCAUCUUAAUCCAAAUGUUGAAAGUUCACAUACUUCACAAUCAUCCCUUUGAAUGUCCAAACGAGUCGUUUCACCAGAUCGUCUGAUUGUAGAUGAUAAACACUCAUGAAAGUGAUCAUUAUCAGAAAGAAUUUGCUCUAGACAAGAAUGCUGGAACACCACUCGAUUAAAGAGGAAGUAUCCAACAGUAGUUGUAGAGGCACUAGUAAGAGCACCAACUUCCACUCAACGAGUCAAGUAGUCAGAAACAAUAAUAACAUAUUCAUUGCCAGCAGUUGACCAUGGAAAAAGUCCCAUAAGAUCAAACGCCAGCAACUCAAAUGGACGGGAAACUGCAAUUGACUCCAACCAUCCUUCUGUAACACAGUAUUAUGAGCUUAGUACCAAACGCAGUUACGCACAUACCGGAUAAUAUCAUGUCGCAUCUUCGACCAAUAGAAAGACCUGUGGAGCUUCUCGGUUACACGACGAUGUCCUAUAUGCCCACCUAGAAUAAGAGAAUCAUGGUAGGCAUGGAGAAACUAUGAAAUAAAGAAAGAAGGCACCACCAGCCGUAAAUGAUCAUCAAGAUUCGUCCCCACAAAAUAAAGAAGGCCAUCUUCAAGGUGAUAUUGACAAUGUAAAUGCCGGAAAGGCAAGUCAUCAGCAAGUGAUACAAGAUUCUCAAACCCAUCUCGAAGCCUUCGAAUCCACAGUUCAAUCUUUUGAGCCUCGCGAAUCUCAUCAAGAGAAGGUAGAUCUUGCUCUGCACCUUAUGGACACUAAACGUCAAGUACAUCAACUGCCGAUGGCACAGAAUCCUCGUCUAAAAAAUCCACAAAUGCUGGAAUAAUAGACUCGUCAGAAACAUGAGAAGACAGUGGAGAAGGAAAAAGAACUUGAGAAAGGGCAUCAACAUCAGCUAUAGAACUCCCUAGGCAAUGAACAACAUCAAAAUCAUAUAUCUGAAGCUUUAAAGCCCACCGAGCAGUACGACCAAUAAUGUUCUUUCGCUUCAAUAAUGAAGUAAUGACAGCAUGGUCACCUUCAAAUAACGUUCAAGAACCAUGUAGAUAAGCUUGAAGUUUCUCGAAACCCUAGACUACUGCUAAACACUCAUUCUUUGUCAUAAAGUAGUUCACCUUCGCUAGUUGCAAUGUACGGUUUAUAUACACAAUGGAAUGGUGCUGACCAGGCACACUCAGGCUCUCUUGCAUCAACACACCUCCAAGACCAAUAUUGGAAGCAUCCACGUGCAAAAUAAAAGGUCGAGUGUAGUCAGGAUAUGCCAAAACCGGAGGAGUUGUCAAUAGCUUUUUGAGAUCCAUGAACGCUUGCUCACAAUCCAAAGACCAAAUGAAAGAUGAUGUUGAUGACUUUAGUAAUACUCACAACGGUGCACUGCGAUCAGAAAGAUGAUCCACAAAACAACCGAGAUACUGCACCUUGCCCAAGAAGCACUGCACAUCAUUCACACACUUCGGAGUAGGGAACUUUAGAAUACCUACAAAUUUGUCAUUAUCAACUUGCAAACCCUCACAAGAAAUACAGUACCCAAAAUAAGUUGUGUCCUUGGACCCAAACACACACUUCGACUGCUUUAGCUUUAAACCAACGUCGUGUAGCCGAUCCAACACUUUACAAACAUCAUGAACGUGCUCCUCCCACGUCCCCUCCGAGUGGAUCAAGACAUCAUCAAUGAAGUCAGCAGUCACUUCUGGCAUAUUGCAAAGAACAUCGUCCAUCAUCUGCUAGAAGUUGCUGGAGCAUUAUUCAAACUAAACGGCAUCACUAAGAACUCGUAUAAAUCAAAUGGUGUACGAAAAGUAGUCUUAGGAAUAUCUUCUUCAGCCAUCGGUACUUGCCAGUACCUAGAAGCAAGAUUUAGCUUGGUGAACCGACUUCACCCCAGAUGAUCCAAGAGAUCAGCAAUGUGAGGAAGAGGGUACACAUCUGAGAUCGUCACCUCGUUUAACGGACGAUAGUCGAUGCAGAAACAAAUACUCCCAUCAGGCUUCAUCACAAGAUGAGGUUCACAUGCCUAAGGAUUCCAUGACUUCCGAAUAACACCUUUCUCUAACAUCUCCUUGACGUUUGCACAUAAAAUCUUGAUCUUCUUGGGUGACCAAUGACAAAUAGGAACCUUGAUUGGACGAACAUCCCCGGUUGGAAUCAAAUGAUAUGUGGCAAUCUUGGCCCCAGACGAUAGGUCAAAUUCAAAGAGAUCAGAAUACUCCUUCAUGAGCCGGUCAACCACUACAACACAAAGAUUGUCAGAGGGAUCAGAAAAGAGAAGAGUAGAACAAGAUAGAAAUAUAGGAGGAAAUAAUGGGGGAACAAAAGUAAUGGAAGCAAAGGUAGAAGUAGAGGGACGAAGAGGUAUGGAAGUGAGAGAAAUGGAUGAAACAUAAGGAAGUAUGAAACAAGGGGAGAAGCCUCAAAGUCACACUUGGCAUGAUUGCACUGUAACCAAUCAAUACGAAGAAUGAGGUCAAAAGCUUGACUUAGCACCACCCGCAAUGACUGCAACUCAAGCUCGAGAUCACCCACAUGCACAACUAGGUCCGCCUCAUCCUGUGCACAUGCAUGUGUACGGCUGUUGCCAUAAAGAAUGAAAACUGGUUCUGCCGACGACGCUAGUGUAGAGGGCAACAUGUGGCAAUAAGUCGAGCAAUAGAAGAUAAACUCAAAUCUGUAUCAACCAACAUGGAGAAAAUAAUAGGAGACCUUUUGUUAUAAAAACAAGCUUGGAAAGUAAACACUGGAUGAACUGGUGCCAAGUGAACCCCUUAAUGAUGCUCCCAAAAGAAAGAUGAAGGGGUCACUAAUUUAUUUGUGCAAGGUCCUUCCAUUACUUGCGUGACUCCUCAUUUCCCAGAUGCAUCUCGGUGUCCAAACCUUCCAUUGCAACAGCACCAAUGGGACGUUGCUGACGCCAAGGUUGUAAGAGACUAAAUUUUCCAUUCUACUUUAGUCAUUUAACCACACCUCCAACCACUUGGAGGAGUCUCAUUCACAACCUCCAUAAGUCCAAUUCAGGACUUGGGACUUGCUAGCCCCGAGAAUGGCAUCCAUGCCAUUCAACAUUUGUACUUGGUCCCAGUGCUCCACGUGUCCGAUCCCAUGACCGACACUCAAAGGUGACACCGACAUGGCAGCUUGUUACGCUAAGGCCAUGCCCAAUCACCUUUGCCACACUGGUGGUCCAAUACCACUUGCAUCACAGUCUUGGCUAUCCAAGACUAGGCAAACCAUCUGUGAGUGGUCAUCUCAUAUCCACUCCUUAACAUCCUUAGGAUGCCCACCGACAAGGGGAAUAGCCUUCUCCAAUAUCCCUCUGUCAGUCCCCACUAAGUCCCUUUCUGCCCUUGGCCGUGUUUGCCAACACUGCCACUGGAUCAAGGCCCACAGGCCCGACCACUAAGUCCCACGGUCCUCUGAGACUUCCUCACCACACAACUGUGUCCUUGGUCACUGCCCCAGAGGACUGCUCCUCUUCCUUUCCACAGUCUGAGCCUUUGGGACAACAUUUCGGAACACCGGGGCCUUACGCGAGCCACCUGGGUACUCUCCUCACCUUCCGCCCUUGGGUGCUCUAGCCAUAGGCUUAGAGCGAGGUUCCAUUGAGCCACGCCUGGUAUCCAAGUAGGUAGUGCCACCCACACUUGGACUGGGAGCAUCGGCCAGUCGAUCUCCCGGGGGAACUAGAGCCGGCUCUUGAACACUUCACCAAGCUACCCAGCUUGUCGGUCCGUGUUCACUCUAGUCUUGGACUUCCCAGUGGUCAGCUCAUCACCCAACACUGGGUAUGGCCUUCCUGGGCCAAACUAGCCUUUCCUGGGCCAAACUGGCUCCACUGGGCUCCAACCCCCACACUCUCCCUACUAUACUUUUGGAACCCCCCACAGCCCCCCCCCAGAUGCAUCUCGGUGUCCAAACCUUCCAUUGCAACAGCACCAAUGGGACGUUGCUGACGCCAAGGUUGUAAGCGACUAAAUUUUCCAUUCUACUUUAGUCAUUUAACCACACCUCCAACCACUUGGAGGAGUCUCAUUCACAACCUCCAUAAGUCCAAUUCAGGACUUGGGACUUGCUAGCCCCGAGAAUGGCAUCCAUGCCAUUCAACAUUUGUACUUGGUCCCAGUGCUCCACGUGUCCGAUCCCAUGACCGACACUCAAAGGUGACACCGACAUGGCAGCUUGUUACGCUAAGGCCAUGCCCAAUCACCUUUGCCACACUGGUGGUCCAAUACCACUUGCAUCACAGUCUUGGCUAUCCAAGACUAGGCAAACCAUCUGUGAGUGGUCAUCUCAUAUCCACUCCUUAACAUCCUUAGGAUGCCCACCGACAAGGGGAAUAGCCUUCUCCAAUAUCCCUCUGUCAGUCCCCACUAAGUCCCUUUCUGCCCUUGGCCGUGUUUGCCAACACUGCCACUGGAUCAAGGCCCACAGGCCCGACCACUAAGUCCCACGGUCCUCUGAGACUUCCUCACCACACAACUGUGUCCUUGGUCACUGCCCCAGAGGACUGCUCCUCUUCCUUUCCACAGUCUGAGCCUUUGGGACAACAUUUCGGAACACCGGGGCCUUACGCGAGCCACCUGGGUACUCUCCUCACCUUCCGCCCUUGGGUGCUCUAGCCAUGGGCUUAGAGCGAGGUUCCAUUGAGCCACGCCUGGUAUCCAAGUAGGUAGUGCCACCCACACUUGGACUGGGAGCAUCGGCCAGUCGAUCUCCCGGGGGAACUAGAGCCGGCUCUUGAACACUUCACCAAGCUACCCAGCUUGUCGGUCCGUGUUCACUCUAGUCUUGGACUUCCCAGUGGUCAGCUCAUCACCCAACACUGGGUAUGGCCUUCCUGGGCCAAACUAGCCUUUCCUGGGCCAAACUGGCUCCACUGGGCUCCAAGCCCCACACUCUCCCUACUAUACUUUUGGAACCCCCCACAGCCCCCCCCCAGAUGCAUCUCGGUGUCCAAACCUUCCAUUGCAACAGCACCAAUGGGACGUUGCUGACGCCAAGGUUGUAAGCGACUAAAUUUUCCAUUCUACUUUAGUCAUUUAACCACACCUCCAACCACUUGGAGGAGUCUCAUUCACAACCUCCAUAAGUCCAAUUCAGGACUUGGGACUUGCUAGCCCCGAGAAUGGCAUCCAUGCCAUUCAACAUUUGUACUUGGUCCCAGUGCUCCACGUGUCCGAUCCCAUGACCGACACUCAAAGGUGACACCGACAUGGCAGCUUGUUACGCUAAGGCCAUGCCCAAUCACCUUUGCCACACUGGUGGUCCAAUACCACUUGCAUCACAGUCUUGGCUAUCCAAGACUAGGCAAACCAUCUGUGAGUGGUCAUCUCAUAUCCACUCCUUAACAUCCUUAGGAUGCCCACCGACAAGGGGAAUAGCCUUCUCCAAUAUCCCUCUGUCAGUCCCCACUAAGUCCCUUUCUGCCCUUGGCCGUGUUUGCCAACACUGCCACUGGAUCAAGGCCCACAGGCCCGACCACUAAGUCCCACGGUCCUCUGAGACUUCCUCACCACACAACUGUGUCCUUGGUCACUGCCCCAGAGGACUGCUCCUCUUCCUUUCCACAGUCUGAGCCUUUGGGACAACAUUUCGGAACACCGGGGCCUUACGCGAGCCACCUGGGUACUCUCCUCACCUUCCGCCCUUGGGUGCUCUAGCCAUGGGCUUAGAGCGAGGUUCCAUUGAGCCACGCCUGGUAUCCAAGUAGGUAGUGCCACCCACACUUGGACUGGGAGCAUCGGCCAGUCGAUCUCCCGGGGGAACUAGAGCCGGCUCUUGAACACUUCACCAAGCUACCCAGCUUGUCGGUCCGUGUUCACUCUAGUCUUGGACUUCCCAGUGGUCAGCUCAUCACCCAACACUGGGUAUGGCCUUCCUGGGCCAAACUAGCCUUUCCUGGGCCAAACUGGCUCCACUGGGCUCCAACCCCCACACUCUCCCUACUAUACUUUUGGAACCCCCCACAGCCCCCCCCCCCCCCCCCCCCCCUGGGGGACGAUCGCUUUGGGCUUUCACCCAACUACCUGUAUUAGUAUUCGGACUCGGACUCGGACUCAGUCCCGGUCCCGGUUUUGGACUCGGUCUCGGUCUCGGUCUCGGCUUCGGCCUCGGUCUCGGUCUCGGUCUCGGUCUCGGGUCCAUCUCGGACUCCAUCUUGGACUCCAUCUCGGACUCCAUCUCGGGUCCAUCUCAGACUCCAUCUCGGGUCCAUCUCGGACUCCAUCUCGGACUCCAUCUCGGGUCCAUCUCGGACUCCAUCUCGGACUCCAUCUCGGACUCCAUCUCGGGUCCAUCUCGGACUCCAUCUCGGACUCCAUCUCGGGUCCAUCUCGGACUCCAUCUCGGGUCCAUCUCGGACUCCAUCUCGGGUCCAUCCCGGACUCCAACUCGGACUCCACUUCGGACUCCAACUCGGACUCCACUUCGGACUCCAACUUGGACUCCACUUCGGACUCCAACUCGGACUCCACUUCGGACUCCAACUCGAACUCCACCUCGGACUCCACCUCGGGUCCUUCUCGGACUCCAGUUCGGACUCCAACUCGGGUCCAUCUCAGGUCCAUCUCGGACACUUCCACGUGUCAUGUGUUGGUCCUUUUGGGUCCCUUUUUGGAGCCGCGCUUAUUGCUCGCUUCGUGCUCAUUCCUCGAGCACUUCGUUAGGAGUUCCACUCCCGCUCUCGACCUUUCAAGUCAGAGCUUUUGGCCCAAACGUGUUACACUUGUUUGGCUUUCGCUUUGGCCACUACCACGUGGCACCCUUCCGGCUCCACUUUGGGGCCUAGGGAUUUUGUGUCUCACAACUCCACCACCCAUAGACGAAGUUCGAUGUCCUCAUCGAACGGUAAACCAUUUUAUAAAGUAACACCCGCAUGUGUUACCAUUUCCAUCCUUGGCACCUAGCCAAUAUUUGUCAAUGGUUUGACAUUGAAGGCUCACCAUGCCUUCUCCAUAUUCGUCAAUAGUUUGACAUUGAAGGCUCACCAUGCCUUUUGCAUAUUCCUCAAUGGUUUGACACCAAAGGCUCACCAUGCCUUGCCCAUCCUCUAAGGAGGGUAGUCUCUCCAACUUAGAGACUGAUUGGACCACAUGUAGUGAUUCUCUCCUUUUAUUGGUUUAGUUCUCGCUAAACCUCUUAGAGACCCUUCUCUAAGUCAAUCCCACUACUCCUUCUCGAGUAGUCUCAAUUUCCAUCUAUUGAACAUUUGCACCUUGGAACUUUUACUCUUUUGACUUUUGGAAGUCAAUUUCCUAGGUGUCUCCAACACCUUGCAUUGCACAGAUUGUGCAACUCCACUUCCCCAUUCUAGGAAGUUCGUUACUUGAGGGCACCAUCAUCCUCUCUUCUAUUUCGUGCCACCUUGGGCACUAAGUUCUAUUUAUCAUACUUUGUGCUAAGGCUGUCCAUGGCCCUAUCAUUUGGCUACCUUACCGCUCCCUCCCUUGGAGCUUCCACUUUCGCCAAAUUGGAGCAAUUUGGAAUCCAUCCUUGGAAACACACUUCCUUUCCCGCAAUUUGUUAGUGUCCAACACAUUAGUGUUCCUCGCCUAACUUUGUCACUUGGAUUCCUUCCAAGGGAUUCCACGGCCCUAUCUUGGCCACUCAUCUUUUGCUCCUAUCCAUUGAUUGUUGCACCAAGCAACAUCGAAUCUCUACCUCCCUCCUUGAGGUAUUCUUUUGAUUCCAUACCAAAGGCUCUGCUUUGCCAAGACUAGGGUGUUCACCCCUAGUAAGUCUCUUUAUGUAGCGCACGUGGUUUUGACCCUUUAUCUUAUGGUGGUUUACCAUAGGAUAACACCACGAAGCGGAACCUAAACCCUCUUUGUGCCACGUGACAUAUGCCACGUGUCACAUGCCACGUGUCCAUGCCACAUGUCCAUAGGAACCCGAGGUUCAGGGCCUUGGGCCACUGAACGAAGGAACGGUGCCAAACUCCCAAGCAUGGAGCCAAGGAAUGAUAGAACCGAACCAUGGAGCAACCCUCGAGCAUAAAGCCCAAGGAACGAAGGGACAGGAGCCCGGAGCGACUUGGAACAGUCCUAGAGUAACCAGCAUCCCAAUGCUAGGACCAGCAUGCAAAACGGAGCCAAAUGGAGUCUGGCGCUAUUUCGGCAUACCGGUGGCCUAACGCGAGGAUAUGGGUACUCCACCAACUAGCAUGGAAUGGAACUUGGGCUUAGACCCAAGCCGGACGCAGAACAAGGACAGGCACGCAAGCGGGAGCUAGACUAUGCCUCAGGUUGGUUGGCCAUGCCCGACCUACCCACUAUCCCUACUAUACAUUUGGAACCCCCCAUAGCCCCCCCCCCCCCCUUGAGGAACACACGCUUUGGGCUUUCACCCCAAGCCUCCCUUAGUAUCAGGAGUUAGUCUUUGGGACAAGCUCGAAACUUACUAAAUAUGGAAUGUCCCUAGAUUGUGAAUUUGGACACGGGACGAACACCAUUGUGUUCAGGCCGAUCUCUACAUUCUGUAGAUAUGCCAAAUGAGCAAAUCUGGACACUUUCCAUAAAUAGCAUUUAGGACUGAAAUGAGACUAACACAAAGGGCAUGAUAGUGAGGGUGUUUGGCAAACACGGUAAGCUAUCAUCUAGCGAUAUUGAGGGACCAAGCUCAAUAUCGCGGGGGUUCCCAACACUAGCAAGUGCAAGUCAACGAAUGAGUUUCUCUAACCAAGUCAAGUAUGCUUGACAAAUAGCAUGUAGGAAUUUCGUCCUUAUGCUCAUCUGGUCAAGUGCACACGCGAGGACCAGUUUCUCAACUAGCUUAGGCGGAGGCUGAUAACGGGUUCAGCAAUACCGACCUCCUGCCAUCGUGGCAGUAAGGUAAGAGUGUCCGUAACGACUAGCCGACAAGUAACUUUCGAUACCCGAAGUCACAUUCGCGACACUCUCCCCCCCUAGGGAAGAUCGACGUCCUCGUCGAUGCAUACUCAAGUCUAGAAUACCGCCAAGGAAACAACUCUAGAAAAAUUUCACGGUACUCACACUAUGUGAGAAAUGCACCAACUUAAAUGAGUUAGAGGGCAACCUCUUUGUCUAACGCAGAUGCGCUACCAGCUCAGACACCUUCCGGCCAUCGCCGACAAGGAAAUGACUAACAGAUUCAGCCACCCUUGCUACUCUGGGAGUCACCCAGCUUACAAAAGUGUGAUAUGCCCCUGCCCGCAGGGACAUAGAGAGAGAAGCCAGAGGCCCCAACCCUCCUAAGCAAAGAAACCAAACCUGUCGGUAAGGUUUAGAUAGACUACUGUAAACAGGCAGUUAGAGUUGUUUACACGGUCACGCCCUUUUAAUGGAAUAAGGAACAUCGACAGAGAGGCGGGUGAUGUGACCAGUCGACAGUAGCUAUCCCAUGACUAGAGAUUUCACCAUGCACACGAAGUGCCGAAGCCAGUCUGCCUAUAUUGGCCCAAACUCAAAGAUCAAUAGAUGGACAAUAUCAAAGUCAUAGACAAUGAUAUCUUAGAGACUUAAUUAUCAGUGAAUAAAUCUUAUAUUAGAACACAAAAGUAUUCCAAGUAUGUUAUCAUCUGAUAAACUAGUAUUAUAGUAGAGGAACCACCAAGAUCAUCAUAAUUGGUAAACAUAGGAUUCACCAUCAAACAAAAUGCAAUAGCAAGUAUAUCAUCAAGUAAACUCAAUGAUAAAGUUUAACUAUUAAAGAUUGCAGACAGAAUGCCAAACAACUUAUGAAAGAUAACUCAAAGAAUACAAAGUAUCAUUGACGGACAAGCACAAUGCUCGCGAAUGUAUCACCCGAAAGAAAUAACAUCCCAAUCUAUCAAAACUAACCUGAGCAAUAAUCAACAGAACAGAAUGAAUGCGGUAAGACCAACAAACACUCACUUCUGCUAGCUAUCACAAAAGCCAAUCUGAAUAGAUCCCAGCCAACAAUACCAAGGAACUCAAGUUGCCUAAGCAAGUGUCAGCAACAUCCUACUGAUGUUUCAAACCCAAGAGACCAAUCCAGAACAAACCACAAAGAACAUGUGGUAUUGCAAAAAGCCAGAAGCCAUCAAAAAGAAUAACUAACUUAUCAUGAAAGACUAUCAAUCAUCCCAUCAAGAAAGAGAUGCAUAAUCAUCGUUGAAGAAAGAAUCUACCAUCCUGAAGAACAGCAACUCAGUCUAUACCAACAAUAAUCAAGCAAAACCUUUUUGACAAGGAUAAUCAACUAUCCCAGAUGAUAGUCAAUCAUCACCAAUGAUUGCUAGACGCAAAUACUAACUUCAACAUUGAAGCUAAAGAGCCAAAAAUGCCUUCCCCAACAACUUCAAACAAAUGGACCACAAGUAUGAUAACGCAAGGAACCAAAAGCUCGAAGAAGUCUAUAGCUAAGUUUUUGCCUAACAAUGAUCACGAGUCUCGCAUGAAUUAACUUCAAUGCUAAAGAAGAAAUCAUGGUAUAACCCACAAUAUCUUUCUCAACACAUCCAUAAGCUAAACUUCAUAAUGCCAAAGCUAUUGAAGAGCAUAUCUGCAUCAAUCCAAAAGCCAAGCACAAUGAAGCUAUGCUCAACAAGUGAUCACUAAAUGAUCCUCCAUGAAUCCAUCUAUAGCAAGACGUAACUCACUUCAUAACAAGCACAAGAAGAAUCAUUAAUGAUCGAUAUAUUCCAACUCAAACCCAAUAAGGAUUCAAACUUUUCAAUAUCGAUCACUAACUCUUCCACUUAUAGAGUUAGCAUAGUCCAUGACUAAAUCACUUUUCAAAGAAAAGCCAACACUCAACCCCUACUAAAUAAUCUCGUCUAAAACACAACUAACUCAAACUUGCCACUCAGUUCAUUUGAACGUCAACAUAGUUACUAACUAGCAAAUGCGCAAAUGCUAAUAACACAAAGUCAUGGCCAAAUCAUCAACACGAUCUCUAUCGAGAGUAAUGAAACGCAAUAUCAAUCCUAAGGAUAGACAUCUCAUCUCACUUAAAUCUCAACAUCAACAAUAUCAACAACA